GAUCAUGGCUCAGGAUGAACGCUAGCUACAGGCUUAACACAUGCAAGUCGAGGGGCAGCAUUUUUAUAGCAAUAUAAAAGAUGGCGACCGGCGCACGGGUGAGUAACACGUAUCCAACCUGCCGAUAACUCGGGGAUAGCCUUUCGAAAGAAAGAUUAAUACCCGAUGGCAUAAUUAGACUGCAUGGUCUUAUUAUUAAAGAAUUUCGGUUAUCGAUGGGGAUGCGUUCCAUUAGG
rnacentral:rRNA from 1 species